rnacentral:rRNA from 1 species
AACGAACGCUGGCGGCAUGCCUAACACAUGCAAGUCGAACGGGAUCCUGGCUUCGGUCAGGUGAGAGUGGCGGACGGGUGAGUAACGCGUGGGAACCUGCCCAGUGGUGGGGGAUAACUGCGGGAAACUGCAGCUAAUACCGCAUCGAGCCCGAGAGGGGAAAGAUUUAUCGCCAUUGGAGGGGCCCGCGUUCGAUUAGGUAGUUGGUGAGGUAACGGCUCACCAAGCCGACGAUCGAUAGCUGGUCUGAGAGGAUGAUCAGCCACACUGGGACUGAGAUACGGCCCAGACUCCUACGGGAGGCAGCAGUGGGAAUAUUGGACAAUGGGGGCAACCCUGAUCCAGCAAUGCCGCGUGAGUGAUGAAGGCCUUCGGGUU